AAUAUGAAAGCUGCACCUUUACUAGUUAGCUACCAUGCGUCAUUAUUUAUCAGAAGAUAUAUGCUGCUUAAACACAAAUACGUUUUAAAAUAUAUUUUAGGCAGUAGGGUUUUGGGGUUUUUUUUGCAAGUUCUUUUACUGAGUAAAUUUAAUGAUAAAUGAUUUUUUUUUUCUUUUGAGACAGUUUGAUCUGUCGCCCAGGAUGGAGUGCAGUGCAGUGGCGCGAUCCUGCAACCUCCGCCUCUCGAGUUCAAGCGAUUCUCCUGCCUCAGCCUCCCGAGUAGCUGGGAUUACAGACGCGCGCCACCCCACCCAGAUGAUCUUUUUAAAUGCAAAAUGCCAUCGACGCAGAAAAUCAAAGAAUCAGCUUAAGUUCCAGAAAAAAGAAAAACCAACCAAAUGAACAAUAAGACAACAACAACAACAACAAAAAAGGCCUUUUGGGAUUUUGGAUGGUAUUGCAUCAAAUCCAUACAUUAACCUGAGAGACGAGAGACUUCUUCAACAUUGAGCCUUCCAAUCAUGAUUUUCAAUUCAUUUAGGUCUUCUGUAAUGUUUCUUAAUAUAAUUGUAUUUGUUGCUAUGCAGAA